GUGCUUCGGCAGCACAUAUACUAAAUCUGGAAUGAUACAGAGAAGAUUAGCAUGGCCCCUCUGCAAGGAUGACAUGCAAAUUCAUGAAGCAUUCCAUAUUUUU